rnacentral:rRNA from 1 species
AGAGUUUGAUCCUGGCUCAGGACGAACGCUGGCGGCGUGCCUAAUACAUGCAAGUCGAACGCUUCUUUUUCCACCGGAGCUUGCUCCACCGGAAAAAGAAGAGUGGCGAACGGGUGAGUAACACGUGGGUAACCUGCCCAUCAGAAGGGGAUAACACUUGGAAACAGGUGCUAAUACCGUAUAACAAUCGAAACCGCAUGGUUUUGAUUUGAAAGGCGCUUUCGGGUGUCGCUGAUGGAUGGACCCGCGGUGCAUUAGCUAGUUGGUGAGGUAACGGCUCACCAAGGCCACGAUGCGUAGCCGACCUGAGAGGGUGAUCGGCCACAUUGGGACUGAGACACGGCCCAAACUCCUACGGGAGGCAGCAGUAGGGAAUCUUCGGCAAUGGACGAAAGUCUGACCGAGCAACGCCGCGUGAGUGAAGAAGGUUUUCGGAUCGUAAAACUCUGUUGUUAGAGAAGAACAAGGAUGAGAGUAACUGUUCAUCCCUUGACGGUAUCUAACCAGAAAGCCACGGCUAACUACGUGCCAGCAGCCGCGGUAAUACGUAGGUGGCAAGCGUUGUCCGGAUUUAUUGGGCGUAAAGCGAGCGCAGGCGGUUUCUUAAGUCUGAUGUGAAAGCCCCCGGCUCAACCGGGGAGGGUCAUUGGAAACUGGGAGACUUGAGUGCAGAAGAGGAGAGUGGAAUUCCAUGUGUAGCGGUGAAAUGCGUAGAUAUAUGGAGGAACACCAGUGGCGAAGGCGGCUCUCUGGUCUGUAACUGACGCUGAGGCUCGAAAGCGUGGGGAGCAAACAGGAUUAGAUACCCUGGUAGUCCACGCCGUAAACGAUGAGUGCUAAGUGUUGGAGGGUUUCCGCCCUUCAGUGCUGCAGCUAACGCAUUAAGCACUCCGCCUGGGGAGUACGACCGCAAGGUUGAAACUCAAAGGAAUUGACGGGGGCCCGCACAAGCGGUGGAGCAUGUGGUUUAAUUCGAAGCAACGCGAAGAACCUUACCAGGUCUUGACAUCCUUUGACCACUCUAGAGAUAGAGCUUCCCCUUCGGGGGCAAAGUGACAGGUGGUGCAUGGUUGUCGUCAGCUCGUGUCGUGAGAUGUUGGGUUAAGUCCCGCAACGAGCGCAACCCUUAUUGUUAGUUGCCAUCAUUCAGUUGGGCACUCUAGCAAGACUGCCGGUGACAAACCGGAGGAAGGUGGGGAUGACGUCAAAUCAUCAUGCCCCUUAUGACCUGGGCUACACACGUGCUACAAUGGGAAGUACAACGAGUCGCGAAGUCGCGAGGCUAAGCUAAUCUCUUAAAGCUUCUCUCAGUUCGGAUUGCAGGCUGCAACUCGUCUGCAUGAAGCCGGAAUCGCUAGUAAUCGCGGAUCAGCACGCCGCGGUGAAUACGUUCCCGGGCCUUGUACACACCGCCCGUCACACCACGAGAGUUUGUAACACCCGAAGUCGGUGAGGUAACCUUUUGGAGCCAGCCGCCUAAGGUGGGAUAGAUGAUUGGGGUGAAGUCGUAACAAGGUAGCCGUAUCGGAAGGUGCGGCUGGAUCACCU